UUUCCUACGGGGCGCAGCAGGGGGGAAUAUUGCACAAUGGGGGAAACCCUGAUGCAGCGACGCCGCGUGAGUGAGGAAGCGCCUCGGCGCGUAAAGCCCUGUCAGCAGGGAAGAAAAUGACGGUACCUGAAGAAGAAGCCCCGGCUAACUACGUGCCAGCAGCCGCGGUAAUACGUAGGGGGCGAGCGUUAUCCGGAUUCACUGGGUGUAAAGGGAGCGUAGACGGCCAUGCAAGCCAGGGGGGAAAGCCCGGGGCCCAACCCCGGGACUGCCCUUGGAACUGCAU
rnacentral:rRNA from 1 species